rnacentral:rRNA from 1 species
GAUGAACGCUGGCGGCGUGCUUAACACAUGCAAGUCGAACGUGAGGGUGUAGCAAUAUGCCUGAAAGUGGCGAACGGGUGAGUAACACGUAGAUGACCUGCCCUGGAGUGGGGGAUAACCAUUGGAAACGGUGGCUAAUACCGCAUACAUCCAGAAGAUUGGGAAAUUUUCUGGGGAAAGCUCUGGUGCUCUGGGAGGGGUCUGCGUCGGAUUAGCUAGUUGGUGAGGUAAAGGCUCACCAAGGCGACGAUCGGUAGCUGGUCUGAGAGGACGAUCAGCCACACGGGAACUGAGACACGGUCCCGACUCCUACGGGGGGCAGCAGUGAGGAAUAUUGGGCAAUGGGCGAGAGCCUGACCCAGCAACGCCGCGUGGAGGAAGACGGCCUUCGGGUUGUAAACUCCUUUUGACAGGGAAGAGAGAGGACGGUACCUGUCGAAUAAGUCACGGCUAACUACGUGCCAGCCGCCGCAGUAACAC